rnacentral:lncRNA from 1 species
UGAAUAUCUCUCCAGGCUCUAAAACCAACUUCAAAUCCUGUUUCAAACAUCUUAAAAAAAAUUGGUGCUGGAAACAAAAGCAAGAGAAACUUAAUCUGGAGACAUGGGAAUAGAAGAGCCCUUUGGCAAAGAAUCACACAAGUAUGUCUGGAGAAGAGCAAAAUCCUAGGAAGAAGACAUCCACCAAGUACUCAAAAGCAGAGGUAAGCUCAAAAGUUCUGUUUUGUAUUGCAGCCCUGUAGGACCCAAGUCUGACUUCCAUUAAAGUCAAGAAAGCUGUAAGUUUGAUGAGGAUUGCAUCCAGGUUACACAAAAUAAGGGUCGUGAAGUGAAGGCUUUUCAUUGUUACUGAGCCAUUUCGCUUUGGCAGUCUCAAGGGUAGCCUUUGCUUGUGCUGCAGCAGUGAGGCAUUAGAUGGAAAAGCCACGGGCUUUCUGCUAUAGCAGGGCAGGGAAUUAGCUUACCCAGCCCAUUAGAUACGAGAUGUCUGUUUCAAAUGAACUUUUCCAUCACCUGCCUUCUUCUCCUCCCCUGAAAUAGAUAGCCAUUUAAGCAUAAAAAAAAUAUUGUAAGAGAGAGAGAAAUAUUAUGAUAUAACCCCUGGAGGCACUUACCUCCCCACAUGGUAUAAAAUGCCAUGGCAGUCACUUACAUUACACUAGAUACCCACUAAAAUCAG